UGUAUGUAGCUCAAUGGUAGAGAGCUUGCCUAGCAUGUGUGAGGCUCUGGGUUCAAUCCCCAGCACUGCAA
rnacentral:tRNA from 1 species